UGGGGUGGUUUUAGUACGUAUGACCUGACUAGAGCAAGGAAUCGUGCAUGCCAAUGGGUCAUUGGUAUCUCAUGAAGAUUUCCACUCCUCA
rfam:Drosophila persimilis strain MSH-3 cont1.011981, whole genome shotgun sequence.